UACGUAGGGCGCAAGCGUUGUCCGGAAUUAUUGGGCGUAAAGAGCGCGCAGGCGGUCGUUCAAGUCGCGUGUGAAAGCCCCCGGCUCAACUGGGGAGGGUCACGCGAUACUGAUCGACUGGAAGGCAGGAGAGGGUAGUGGAAUUCCCGGUGUAGUGGUGAAAUGCGUAGAUAUCGGGAGGAACACCGGUGGCGAAGGCGGGUCUCUGGGGCCGAUACUGACGCUGAGGAGCGAAAGCGUGGGGAGCAAACAGG
rnacentral:rRNA from 1 species